rnacentral:rRNA from 1 species
UACAGAGACUGCAAGCGUUAUUCGGAUUCACUGGGCGUAAAGGGUGCGCAGGUGGCCAAGUGCGUUAGGCGUGAAAGCCCGGGGCUUAACCCCGGAAUUGCACCUAAAACUACUUGGCUAGAGCAUUGGAGAGGGGAGCAGAAUUCACGGUGUAGCAGUGAAAUGCGUAGAUAUCGUGAGGAAUACCAGAGGCGAAGGCGGCUCCCUGGACAAUUGCUGACACUCAGGCACGAAAGCGUGGGGAGCAAAAGGG